GUCUACAGCCAUGCCACCCUGAACAAGCCUGAGCCCUUCUGAUCUCAGAAGCUAAGCAGGGUCGGGCCCAACAGCAUUUAGCUAGAAUUUAGUAAUGUUCCUU
rnacentral:rRNA from 1 species